CAGGAUCUGUCCUGUGGGAAUCAAGAAUCAGGCUGGGAGAAGUGUGGGACAAGUUGCCCAGCACCCAGAAGCAGAGCCUUCCUGUCACUUGGGCACUUUAGCACAGUAAUGGAAGUGUUGUGAGGGCUUGAAUCAAUAUUCAAACACCUGGUGAGAAUGCAAGAACCACCCCAUGGAGCUCAGGUGCAUGCAAUGUGCCUGAGUGACUGGGAGGAGUGGAUCUUGGCUCCACCCCUUCCCAGACCUCAUUUAAGGGUUGUCAGCAGAGGGAAGCAUAUUUUGUUGGCGAUCCACGUGCAUCUGAGGUCUUCCAGAAGUAAACAGGUUCUUUCCUUUGUUUCCAUGCUCACAGCUGUUGUAUCUGAGCAAAUCCUUGCUUGCAGGAGCUCAGAACAGUGCAACUUUUCUGUCACUGCAGUGCUUUACAUCAUAUUACAGAAGAAGCUCUAGUAUACUGAAGAAUGUUUCCCAUACAGUAUGUACAAGGAACUAAGGAUGAAUUCAUGUUUAAAGCAUCAGAGUAAGAUGCAGGGUGAAAGAUUUGGCUGCUCAUCUCUCCAUAGACUUCCUCUGUGCCUCAGUUCUCUACUCUUGCAAAGAGGAAGUGGUACCCAUGGGGACAUAGAGUGGUAGGAAUCUUUUUCUGUAAGCAAAACAUCAAUGACUCACCUGGUGACUUCAAAAUGGUCAAGUUUUGAGUAUCUACUGGCAUGGGGAUUCUGCAGCCUCUCUGGACUGCAGACUCUCUGGUGCUCAGCAAUCCCCAUGAGAAGAAUCCUUUCCCCUCCUUCUUUCAAAAAGCAGGUAAGAUAAAACCUAUUUCCUUACUGCCAACAAAGCCUAAAUGUUAGCUGGAAACUUCAUUCUUCAGGAUUUUUAAAUACUAGGUAUGUGUGCACACUUAUGGAGACAGGCUUUAUCUUUCUAGAGCUUGGUAUUUUCCCACACUGAGCAAUUCCUGACAAA